UAACACCAUUAGCAGCGUUAGCUAACAGACAUUUGACUCGUGACUCAAAGAAAAACUUCCUGUUGUGAAAUAUGCAUCCAAGUGUUUGAACUUGUCUUCAUUGGUUCAAGUACUGCGACUAAAACUGAAGUUAUACAGGUUUUUAGUCGUAUUAGUUGUAUUUAUUGAUAACGUUUUCACUGAGCUCUGAACAGCCAAUCACAGGGCAGAACAGUAGGUCUCCAUAGUAACCGCGGAUCGUCUGGAGUCAAACUUCCUGGUUGUUGUUUCCAGCUGAGGCCAGAGACGUGACGUGACCGAGCUCAGCACAUAUUUAUUAAUAUUGCUGUUUUUAUCUUCAUGUUCUUCACACACAACUUCCUGUUGGCACAAGGCUCUGAGGACAAACACCCGAAACAAACUACUCAAACAAAAAACUGAUCCUGCGGGAAAAGUACCUGUAACGUUGCUGCAGUAUCAAGAUACCACAGCCGAUCAGCAGCAGCAGUACUCAGCUAUUUCAUAGUUCUGUCGGCUCAGCUCUGAGAACAACCAUCACCUCCUGCCGCUGGCGUCAGCGAUGGCCGGGACAUCGAGACACGACAGAGAGAUGGCGAUGGAUGCCAAGCGACGGCUGUCAGAGUGUUCUGACCCGGUGGAGAGACUCAGACUGCAGUGUUUGGCCCGAGGAUCGUCUGGUAUCAAAGGUCUGGGCAGGACCUUUAAAAUCAUGGAUGAUGACAACAGCCGCUCUCUGGACCUGAAGGAGUUCCUCAAGGGUCUGAACGACUACGGCAUCCUGAUGGAGAAACGAGAGGCCAUGGCUCUCUUUCAACAGUUCGACCGUGACGGGAGUGGGACCAUCGACUUCGAUGAGUUCCUCAUCACUCUGAGGCCACAGAUGUCGAAGGCCAGGAAGGAGGUGGUCAUGCAGGCGUUCAGGAAGCUGGACAAGACGGGUGACGGCGUGAUCACCAUCGAGGACCUGAGGGGCGUUUAUAACGCUAAGUACCACCCCAAGUAUCAGAACGGGGAGUGGACCGAGGACCAGGUGUUCAGGAAGUUCUUGGACAGCUUUGAUUCUCCAUAUGACAAAGAUGGACAGGUGACCCAGGAGGAGUUUAUGAAUUAUUAUGCUGGUGUGAGCGCGUCCAUCGAUACAGACGUCUACUUUAUUGUGAUGAUGAGAAAUGCCUGGAAACUCUGACUGAGCGUCGUUCUGGUAAACGAGCUGUUGGUUCGGUGGUGGGAGGAGGAGAAGACUGAAACUGAAUGUUCCCCACAGAACGUCCUCACUGUCUCAUGUGGAAACCUUCUGCUCAGUGACCAAAGAGGAGUUUGUCAACUACUACUGUGGAGUCAGCGCCUCCGUAGACAGCGACGUCUACUUCAUUCUCAUGAUGAAAAACGCCUGGAAGCUCUGACAUGAAACAGCACACGACCCUCCAACCAGCAGGAUGCAUUUAUUAUCAUGAGCAUUAGGUUGUGUGAAGUAGCUCUUGUCUCAUUCUGUGCUUUUAUUUGUUAGAAAAUGUCUCUACAUGAACUUAGUGUCAUAGUUUAGAGAGUGACUUUAAUCAUUUUGCAUAAACAUCAUGUUAGAGCCGCUCUGUGUUGUUCUGUACAAGAAACUCAAAGUCAGAGAUUCAACAUUUACAAUAUUAAUGAGGUAAUAAAACUGUCUCCAUCUGUGUAUAAACAAGCUGUCAGUGGAAAAUAAGACCCGGGAUCACUGUUUGAAGCCAGAAAGGUGGCAGGGUCCGCCACAUGUAAACAGAGUACAACUCCUUCAAGGUCAGUUUGUUUAUUCCAUUUGUCUUCUCAUUAACAUUUAUUCACCAAAGCUACAAACGAACCACAGGCAACAGUAUGUUUUAUAAAAGUCUUUUUAAUUGUACGUUGAUAUGAAACAUUAUACUGAAGACUUUGUUUAAAUAAAAUCACUGUGUCGUCACAGGUACAAUCA